UGGGGAAUAUUGCACAAUGGGGGAAACCCUGAUGCAGCGACGCCGCGUGAGCGAUGAAGGCUUUCGAGUCGUAAAGCUCUGUCCUAUGGGAAGAUAAUGACGGUACCAUAGAAGAAAGCCCCGGCUAAUUACGUGCCAGCAGCCGCGGUAAUACGUAAGGGGCGAGCGUUGUCCGGAAUUAUUGGGCGUAAAGGGUACGUAGGCGGUUUUUUAAGUCAGGUGUCAAAGCGUGGAGCUUAACUCCAUUAAGCACUUGAAACUGAAAGACUUGAGUGAAGGGGAGGAAAGUGGAAUUCCUAGUGUAGCGGUGAAAUGCGUAGAUAUUAGGAGGAAUACCGGUGGCGAAGGCGACUUUCUGGACUUUUACUGACGCUCAGGUACGAAAGCGUGGGGAGCAAACAGG
rnacentral:rRNA from 1 species